CUGAGGCGUGACGACGAGGCACUACGGUGCUGAAGCAACAAAUGCCCUGCUUCCAGGAAAAGCCUCUAAGCAUCAGGUAACAUCAAAUCGUACCCCAAACCGACACAGGUGGUCAGGUAGAGAAUACCAAGGCGCUUGAGAGAACUCGGGUGAAGGAACUAGGCAAAAUGGUGCCGUAACUUCGGGAGAAGGCACGCUGACACGUAGGUGAAGUGAUUUACUCAUGGAGCUGAAGUCAGUCGAAG
rnacentral:rRNA from 1 species